rnacentral:rRNA from 1 species
UUAAAUUGAAGAGUUUGAUCAUGGCUCAGAUUGAACGCUGGCGGCAGGCCUAACACAUGCAAGUCGAACGGUAACAGGACGCAGCUUGCUGCUUUGCUGACGAGUGGCGGACGGGUGAGUAAUGUCUGGGAAACUGCCUGAUGGAGGGGGAUAACUAAUGGAAACGGUAGCUAAUACCGCAUAACGU